AGUGAACGCUGGCGGUAGGCCUAACACAUGCAAGUCGAACGGCAGCACAGUAAGAGCUUGCUCUUACGGGUGGCGAGUGGCGGACGGGUGAGGAAUACAUCGGAAUCUACUUUUUCGUGGGGGAUAACGUAGGGAAACUUACGCUAAUACCGCAUACGACCUACGGGUGAAAGCAGGGGAUCUUCGGACCUUGCGCGAUUGAAUGAGCCGAUGUCGGAUUAGCUAGUUGGCGGGGUAAAGGCCCACCAAGGCGACGAUCCGUAGCUGGUCUGAGAGGAUGACCAGCCAAAUGGGAACUGGGACACGGCCCAGACCCUAACGGGGGGAGCAGUGGGGGAUUAUUGAACAUGGGCCGCAGGCUGAACCCGCCCUUACGCGGGGGUGAAGGAGGGCUUUCGGUUGGAAAGCCCUUUUUUUGGGGAAAGAAAAGCAGCAGGUUAAUACCCCGCUGUUCUGACGGUACCCAAAGAAUAAGCACCGGCUAACUUCGUG
rnacentral:rRNA from 1 species